rnacentral:rRNA from 1 species
UACGGGGGGGGGCAAGCGUUGUUCGGAAUUACUGGGCGUAAAGGGCUCGUAGGCGGCCAACUAAGUCCGACGUGAAAUCCCAAGGCUUAACCUUGGAACUGCGUCGGAUACUGGAUGGCUUGAAUUCGGGAGAGGGAUGCGGAAUUCCAGGUGUAGCGGUGAAAUGCGUAGAUAUCUGGAGGAACACCGGUGGCGAAGGCGGCAUCCUGGACCAACAUUGACGCUGAGGAGCGAAAGCUAGGGGAGCAAACGGG